GUUGUUGACAAGAAUUUGGAAGUAUUCGGCGUUAAAAAUUUGUUCAUCUCUAGCGCAUCCGUUUUUCGUACCGGUGGUUAUGCCAAUCCGACAUUAACUAUCAUCGCGCUUUCCAUCCGCCUCGCCGAGC
rnacentral:misc_RNA from 1 species